rnacentral:lncRNA from 1 species
AGGCCCAGAACCCAUGACCCAUGAAGUCUUGUCAACAUUCACACCAUCGAAGGCUAUCAGCAAUGAACUAGAAGAAGCAGGUGAGGCUUUCUGCCUACAGUGUAAUAUCUCUGGCCUAUUGGGUCAGUCAUGUUUUCAUGUUUUGUGUUGCCCCUUGAAGGUAAAGUACUUCUCUUCUUUCAAUAUUGGAAGGGUCCAGCUUUGAGUGAAACCUUGGCUAAGCAGGUUGGUUUUAGUUUAGCUCAGAUGCUCUUUUAGUCAGAACUCAUGGUAGCCUCUUUCCCCUGGGGUGGCCUCAUGAACCCUCCCCAUUCCCUGAGGCAAAUUCCAUUUGACAUGUUGGAUACAGGCCAUUUCCUAUGGAUUUGGAGUCUGAGACUGCUGUGGAAAAGUCCUGCUUAGCUUUGGGUGAGAAACGUCCUGUGUUUAUGUGUCUAUCAACGGUAUUAGAGCAAAUGCCUUCUGAACUGAUGUACCGGGCAGUGUUUAUCUCACAAAACCCAGAGGGAUUCUACAUCAUUCCAUCUUUUGAAAUAAAGUUAAGAAAUAAUUCUCUUUUCCUAAUGGUGAAUUUGGCCUUAUCUUCAAAGAAGGCCUCUGAUGUUUGGGACAGGAUUGUUGGGCGGUAAGAGGAAAUCAGAGGAGAAAGAUCAGAGCCAAUGACACACAGUCAACGUAACUUGGUUGCCAGAGAAAACGUUGAGGAAAGACUCAAGUAGUUCUACCGCUUAUUAACAGGAAAGUCCAUAAUAUGGGUUGAAUAAAAAAAUCAUCCAAAAGGAGCUGAGCAGCAGAAAAUAUGGCAAAGAAAUAUUUAUUCAUCUCCAAAGUGAGUUUUGACAGCACUGCACAAGACGAGGGUGAUGAUGUGUGUGUAGAUUGAAGCCUUCAUCCUUUCAACAAGCUUUUAUUGAAAGCUCACUGUGUGCUUGGGGUCAAUACCAGAGCCCAUGCCUGCCUUCUAGAAUUCCAUGACUGAGCGAGGGGACAUAUAGGGCCCAGCAAUGCAAACUCCUGUGUAAAGUGCUUGAACUGGGUCUUGAAGAAGGGCUCCUAGAGGGCAGGGCCCAGUAUCUCAGGCUAAGUCCUAGAGUCAGAAGUGGGGCUGGCAGGACCAAGGUUCGAUUACCUCUGCCCACAGGUGUUGUUCAUUUUCUGGCUGAAAACUUGCUUUUCCUCAGAUGAUAAUAGGCUGAAGCAUUUUCUUUCUUUUGUUUUUUAAUCACCACCUGUGGCAUGCAGAAGUUCCUCCAGGCCAGGGAUCGAACCAGUUCCAUAGCAGUAACAGCCACAGCAGUGACAAUGCCAGAUCCUUAACCCACUGAGUCAUCGGGAAACUUCUGAGUUUCUUCUAAAUCUCUCUUAAGACAGGAGAUUUCAAGUUCAGAGUAUUUGUUUGUUUGUUUGUUUGUUUGUUUAGGGCUGUACCCACGGCAUAUGGAGGUCCCCAGGCUAGGGGUUUAAUCAGAGCUGCAGCCACCAACCUACACCACAACCAUAGCAACGUGGGAUCCAAGCUGCAUCUGCUGCCUACACCAUAGCUCAUGGCAACACGAGAUCCUUAGCCCACUGAGUGAGUCCAAGGAUCGAACCUGUGUUCUUAUGGAUACUAGUUGGAUUCAUUACCAGAGCCACAGGUGGGUGGUACCUCUGCAGCAUUCCAUCCCUGGCAUUGCUGCAGCUGCAGCAUAGGUCCCAACUGUGGCUCAGAUCUGAUCCCUGGCCAGGGACUCCAAAUGCCGUGGGGUGGCCAAUUUUUUUUUUAAUGUUAUAAAAAUAAAAACUGGAAUCUCUGCAUUGAGUUCAGAGUCUUGGAACUGUGAGUCUUGGACCACAGUUAAAAGCAGUUACUGAGUAGCUUUCUAGGGAAAAAGAAGAAAUGUGUAAUCUUUUCUUUCUCAUCCAGAUUUUAGCCAGGAAGGCUAGAAACACACCUGAAUUCAGCUUUUUACUUGUUAGUUCCAUUUGCCCUUUGUUCUGCUCUCUGGAGCAGGUUUGCUAGGCUCCAAAAUCAUUCUAAGAGUAGCAAGAGAGGAGACAUUUAUUUUGGGGACAAAUAAAAGUUACUGGGCUCUCCAGUUGCCCAGGAACCUCCUUGGCUUCCUCGAGGUAGCUAUCACACAAGGUGGGAGCUGCAGGUAGGAGGAAGAGGGUGUGUGGAACCAGCGCGGGGCUGGAAUUAGACUCCUGCAGACCCACCCCGCUAAAUCCUGGCCCUGACAAAGUUUUUCCAGAGUCAUCCCAGCCAAGUGCCUUUACUAGUCUGAACUUACCUAACAUUACAAUCCCAGCAGGUUUAUUAGGUAUGGGUCACAGUUAAUUGGAGAGGAAAAUUGGGAGGUUCUGGGUUUAUUACUUUUCUGUGAAAGCAGAGGCUGCUCUUAAUUAUUUCACAAAUCGUCUCCUCCACUUAGCUCUCUCUCUGCUUUUCUGUCAAAUGACUGUCAUCCCACGGAGGUGUUAUGGGUAGCUCGCCCUCUUUGAUGUACCUGUGCCCACGUGAGGGGGAUUUCAUAAAGCAGUCAGUCAGCACAGUGCCCACUCUUGCAAGUGAGACCACAUAAAGUGAUGGAAAUUCAUAGCUGUUUACUUCUGUCAUUAUGAAUGGAUGUUUUGUAGUGAACAAGUUACAUAAAAAUCUGCUGUGUUCGAGCCAAGAGUUAGAGUAUAAUGGCCCUUCCAAUGUAUGGGCCUUCCGAGCAAUCACCUGUAACCCUCCCUGGACAGCGUUGGUGGUCUUGCCAUGGUGAAGGCCAAGUCAGCUCCAGGUGAAAGUGCCACAGUCAGGUGCCUCUCGUUCUAUAGCCUUCUGUUGCAGGGAUGGAGAGUCAGGCCCGGCUUUCGCCUGCCUGGACGGUGGCAGCUUGCCAGCAAGUUUCACUGGGUGGUCUUGGACAAUGGGAGAGAGGAGGGGUGGGGAGCUCAGCUCUCCUGCCCAAAGGGGGACCAGAAGGUUGGCAACCAAUCCCCUGUCACUGAAACACCACAAAGGUUCCGAGUGUGGGUGAAAAGAACAGAACAGGUUGCUGAAGGCAGUAUUGUGAUGGAGUUCAUUUUUGUUUCCCUGAUUUUACAAAUGAAGCCUUGCACAUAUGUGGCAAGUCCCGCCAAAGAGGGUGAGCACACACGAGCAGCAGGGGCCCUUCAUCACGGAAGGGGAGAGUUGCUGUCCCCACUCCUGGAAUCAGCCAUGGACACGGAGGGCAGGGAGAGACUGGCAAAUCCUAGUCCCCAAGAGGCAGUCCCUCCUGCCUCCACCAUCCUUCCGGUGACAUGGAAAGUGAGAGUUGCCAUUUUGUGAGACCUACUGUGUGCUAGGCCCUGUGCUAAGCACUAUGAGCACUGUCCCUGCAAAUGCCCCUCUCCUCCCCACCCUAGAAGGCCUGUGAAGAUGGGCAGCUUGAUCCUACUCUGAUCCUACUCUGCAGAUGAGAGAGUUGAAGCCGAAAUAAUUAUAGGGACUCAUUCCAGCUGAUAAGUGGCAGAGCCAAGAUUUCAUGGUAGGGCUGCUGACUCCAAAAGUCAGGCUUUGAGAGAAAAAAAAAAAAAAGGUAUCCAGACAAUCUCCCCCCUCCCCCAAAGCAGUGCCCCCUUAGCUUGGGAGAACUGUUUCUUUUGCAGCUAACAAAGUGGAAGGGACAGGUGGAAGCUUUUAUGAGACCUGCCUUAAGAGAAUGGAAAACUGGGGCCACAACUGGAAGGUUUUGACGGGCUGCACAGCAGCAGCAUGAGGGAAGCGGCUUCUAAGGCACAGCUAAUUGGGUCUCCCCCUGGAAUGUGUGCCCUGGCCUUUUCUCCCCUAGGACAUCAUGUGAAUUGGCUGUCUGAAUCUUUGCUUCCCACCUCAAUGCCAGCUCAAUCCAUUUGCUCCUCAGGCCACUGCAAGUCUGAUCAAGCAGGUCCUCUGGGCCCUUGGUGAGGUGAGGAGGAGAAGGCGUUUUGCCCAGCAGAUAUUUUCCUGGUCAGGAGAAGUGGCAGCUUGUGCAGAAAAAUAGCAGCUUUGACAGACAGGUAACUGACAGGAGAUGGUACCUUCCAGGCAAAUACUCAGAGAGCAGCCAGCAGAAAGAAUUCUGCAGGCCGUCACCUGCACAGCAAAACCGACCUCUCCCUGCUGGCUUCAGAGAGGGGAGAGAUUUGGCUGCGAUGAGCGUGCGGUUGCCCUCAAUUCCUUGUGUUUCUUUAACAAACGUGGAAAGCCCAAGCCAGGAUGUUCUGGCUUCAGAAGGGGUGGGGCGUGCACAGGACACCUGGGUUUAAGUUGUCAUUAUGAGGAGUUCCCGUUGUGGCUCAGCGGUAACGAGCCCAACUAGUAUCCAUGAGGACAAAGGUUUGAUCCCUAGUCUCCUCAGUGGAUCAGGGAUCUGGUGUUGCCGUGAGCUGUGGUGUAGGUCACAGACACGGCUAGGAUCCCUCAUUGUCGUGGCUGUGGUGUAGGCUGGCAGCUGUAGCUCCAAUUCGACCCUUAGCCUGGGAACUUCCAUGUGCUGAGGAUGCAGCCCUAAAAAAGAAAAAAGAAAAAAGAAAAA